rnacentral:lncRNA from 1 species
CGAAACCAAUGACAUAGUAGGUAAGGAAUACCCAAACAGCAACUUCCACAAAAGUUAAGGGGAUUUUUAGGAUCCAUGCAGGAAGAGCAUAUGCCCAUGGAGGGAAAAAUAGGUAUCCCCUUUGCUUGUAGAAAACAGGAAGUCUUGAAACUACCAUGGAAAUUUCCGCCAUUCCAUUGAACAUGAUCACAACAACGCCAUAGAACAAUGCACCUACAUAUAUGCCUCCAAGAGUCACCGAAUCUCUGUGCAUCUCAGUCCGGAAGAAGAUGGUCAUUGCAAUCAUUGCCAUUAUACAUAUCUAAAAGGAGAGGGAAGUCAUCAGUAAUGGAUUUUAAUAAUGUACAUCAAAAAAGUCUCAUUUUAUUUUGGAAUCGAGGCUAAUGGUAGUUUAUAAACACCUAGUGGGGUGCGCCUUUUAACGAAGGACAAAACUGUGAUGGCUUAGACUGACACGAAAAUUAAGGCUAACUCAUCCUUACAAAACUGGCUUGUACAGUGAUGAGUGCCUCCUCUUUAUAAACUCUUCUCAAGAAUCCUAUCUAUCCGAUGUGGGACUAAAUCCCACCGAGUGUUGGCCGCUAACACAAGGCCCAAAAAUAGAUAAUACCUCAGAAAACUGUGAGGGCUUAGAAAAGAAGCACAUAAGACUUGAGGUAGGAACAUAAUAUUAUAAUGAAAAUGUCAAAAUUUUGUAAACCUACUUGGCAAAUUUUGAAGAUGUAGACGAAUGAAUUGCGCUUCAUAAGUAAGUAUUCUCGUGAUAAACAAGCUUUAAACAAUUCCCAUUUUCCCACUCCAUAUUUCUUGGUUGUCAAGGCAGCUGGAUGGCUCUUAGACUUGUCAAAUUCAGUACCAAGUUCAUCACCAAGUCUUCUGCCAACAUGAAAUGAUUGAAAUGCCUCAGAAAACUCUUCAGCUGUGACAAAUCUAUAAGGCUGGUCUUUGUGUUCCCAAUACUGCUCUUGGUCUUUCCUUGAUGUCACCUAUAAAAACAUAAUAAUUUUCAUAUAAAAUAGUAAAUUGUUAUGACAUAGAAUAAAGUAUAAACCUUCUCUUGACUAAAAUGAUAAAAGACACAAUGACACUCACUUCUUGCAAAAAAUCUGCCACUCCUUUCCUAUCAGGACAUUUAAAACCAAUUGAUUCGAAAAAUUCAAGCACGUGCUCACGGGGACCUUGGUAUAUAAUGUGACUAUCAGAGAGUAGAAUAAUGUCGUCAAAAAGAUUGUAAGUCUCUGGUGGUGGCUGAAGGAGCGAGAUGACCGCAGUUCCUUUGAGAAUGUGGACAAAUUGCUUCAUUGAAUUCACAAUCUGAAAAGUUGUCGAGCUAUCCAAACCAGUAGAUAUUUCAUCCAUGAAUAGAGCUUUCGCCGGUCCAACCAACAUCUCCCCUGCAUUGAUAGAUUCAUAAUAAUCAAUUCAUUGAGAUGAUUCAUAACUAUCCACGUUAAGACUUAAAUUGGAUUUUUAUUUUACCAGUUGUAACGCGUUUCUUUUGUCCACCAGAGAUACCUCGUAACAUUGCAUUUCCUACAACAGUAUCAGCACAUAUCUCUAGUCCCAAAAUCUGCAAAUGUAUAACAAAGAAACAAGAGACUGUAAAAUAUAUUAUUACAAUGUAGUCAUGGUGACAUGUUUUGAAAGUAUAAUUAUUUUACCCUUAGGACAUAAUCUGUUAUCAAAUUUGCCUUCUGGCCUUCAGUUGCUAUAGCCUGUGAGCAUUAUGAAUCCAAAGGACAACCACUUUAGUAUCAUUCAUUUUUUAUUUUCAUGGAAAAGAAAUAGAUGAUCCACUAAGUAUAAAAUAACUCUAUAUUACCUUCAUGUACACAUCAAUGUCUGGAUCAGGCAUGAUAUUUGCAUGUUUUUCUCUUCUGGACAGCUCUGCUAACAAGUCUGCAGAAUGACAACAAUAUUACACAUGGUCAAAACUUUCUAAUUUAUGGCCUUUUUGGAUUGACUUAUUUGAGUUUUUCUACUUACAUAAUGACUUAUAAAAUUGUCUGAAAGAGGUUAUGGAAACAACUUAUGACAUGUCCAUAAGGUGUUGUCAGCUUAUUUCCAUAAGCUUUCCUAGAGAAGUUAUGAAAAUAGAUUAUAGCUUAUAUGAAAACAGUUUUACUUUAGUAUAUCUUUUGUUAUAGAAAUAGCUUAUACUUAAAUACUUAUAUGAUAAGAAAAAAUAAAUUGUUUGGACUAACCAUAACGAGGCCCAACUCCUUGGACCCUUGCUGAGAAAGCCAAGGUUUCUCUAACAGUCAUUUCUCCAAUGUGAAGAUCAUUUUGAUCCACAUAAGCAGCAGUUCUUUGAGGCACAAACUCAUUCAUCUCAUGACCAUUAUAAGUUACCUUUCCAGAAAACUGAUCAUGAAGCCGCACUAUAUUAGGAAUUUAGCUAUAGAUCGAAAGUUGGAAACUAGAGCUAAAAUAUGAGUACAUAGAUGAUAGAUAGUUAAAAUGUGUGUAUCUUCUUUUAAUGUUCUAACCUUUAAUUUUGGAUCAAGUUUUCCGGCCAAGGCCAACAGGAGUGUGGUUUUUCCAGAACUCGGAGGGCCCAAAAGCAAUGUCAUUCUACAAAGAAGCAAAUUGAAACAUGUUAUAUUGGUUCAAGAGGACCUAUAGUUCAAUCAAUGAAUAGAAUAGUAUUUGUAUUGAUACCUUGAAGGCUUUAAUAUUCCACUAACAUCCUUGAGAAUAUUUAGAUGUUGUUUUCUACUUGGAAGUACAUGAAGAGAAUUCAACAGGCCCUGUACAAUUAAAAUGUUGAAGAAAAAAAACCAUAUUGUUUAGUUAGAAUACCCUUCAAUAAAAUACCACAUAGAAAGUUAGUACUAUUUAUCAGAGUUGAUUAUUUACCUCCACUAUAUUAACCAUGAAGUUAGUGAAGGUAGGCAAAGACCUAUUUCCUACAUGAGCUUCUGCUUCGAUAUUCAAGCCCUCGAAUCGAACCUCUAUUGUAGGAAGAUCAAUUCCUACUCUGAUAUCAUCCAAGGAAGAAGAAAACAAUGAUAAGAAAAUUAAUUAGUGCAUUUCAAAAGCACUUCUUGUAAAAGCAAGGACAAAAAAAUUGAAUUUUAACCUGUCGAUUCGAUCCUUGAGUUUGAGCAAAAACUUUUCAUUGUCUUCUUCAGCAAGUCUAACAAGUCUUUCAAGUAAAUCUUUUCUUUCUUGCAACCCAAGGUUCUCAACAUCGAUCUCAGUGGCUUCCCCUUGAAGUGAAGUGAGCAAACCUUUCCUCAAACGUUCAAAAGUAGGAAGUUUCUGAAUUGCAGCCCAUUUAAGAGCUUCUUCAUCAUCUUCUUGGUGGAAAGAAUUUGAAAAGAUCUCAGCAGCAUCACUGUUCCUCCAUAUUGAUGAACUGCCAAUCCUGAAACUACCUCCACCCUCCAUCCCACCACAACAGAUACAAUUAGUCCGAGUUACUAACAACAAAUUUGGAGAAAAGGGUAUUCAAAAAAUCACUGGCUACUUGCUAACUUAAUUUCCUUAUGGUGUUGUUUUGUGUUGUCAAAAGGACCAUUUUCCUUUCUCUUUGGAGUUUGAAUGAACGUGAAACAAAAAUAAACAAUGGUGAUGUGUGUGUGUAUGUAUAUAUAUUGAGAGAGAGAGAGAGAGAGAGAGUAACAUGGAUGCAUUGGAUUUUCAAUGCCGUAAAAGUUGGAGGGACAUAUAGCUCAUGUUCAUAUGUUCAAAUUCCAUAUAAUCUUAGACAACGUGGCCAUCAUAAACAUGCCGGCUAGAUAUACAUUGCACAUAAUAUUAAUAUUUACCAUUUGACAUCCUUCAAGGAAAAGCAACCUCAAAUAAAGAAUGAACCAUCGUAAUGCUAUAAUACUAUAAUAAUAUAAUACUGUCAGUUUAUUGAUAAAUAAUGGCAUAAGUGACAUCAUUGAUUAUGUCUUAAGAAGUGUAAAAACACUAAACAAAAUACAGUACGUAAUCAGUUAUAAUUAGUUGACUUUCUUAGAUGCUGUUUGUGUUGGUCCAAUUGGUUUUUAUUCUAAAAGUGGUAUAUAUGCACGUGUAAUAAUAAUUAAAUAUUAAAAAAUUGCUUGAUGCCAAUCCAACUCAUGGUUUUAUUGAAGGAAAUACGUAUCAUACAGAAAAUCAUUGAGAUUUCAAUAUCUCACUGUUGUGGGGAAUCAAUCUUGUCCCAAAGAAACAGGAAAAAACAAAUAAAGAUUUUGCUUGUGGCAGGCUGGCAGCUUUAACAGCGUUUCCUCAAAAAAUGUUUUUUUUUUGGUUAACUUUGAUUCUCAAGGUAAAGAUAUGGAGUUUGGUCGGGAUUAUGUGUUGAACAAUUUUGUGUAAGACUUUAAAAAAGUGUAGAUUUUCAUUCUGAUCUAUUCCAAUUGUAUUUAUGAAAAAUUCACUUCACCGACCUUUGUAUAUGUUUGUUUGAAGUUUAUCAAAUUUAUUCUUAGUAAUAACAUUCCUUGGAAUAUAAAGAUGGGAAUUUUAUUCCAAGGAAUUUAGGAAAAAAUAUUUUUGGUUAGCUUUAUAAUAUUCCUAGGAACCAUAAAAAUAGGGAUUAUAAUAGGUAAACUAUUUAUGAAUUUAUUCCCAUCUCCAUGGGAACUUUAUUCCCACCCUUUUCCUUGGGAAAUUUUUUCUAUUCUCAGGAACAUUUUAUACCAAGGAAUAAAUUUUAGUAAACUUGUAACAAACAUAGGCAUAUACAUUUCUAUCAUUUUAUUCCCGGGAAUCAACAAUUAUAACUUGAAACAAACACACCCUUAGUCUUUUCUCCUUCAUCUAUUAAGAUGGAUGAUUUAUGGCCAAUUUUUAUCUAAAAUUAUUUGUCUAGGUUUGUUAUUGUCUUUCUCUUUGUGCACCUAAAAAAGAGGUUUUAUAGUGGACUUCUCUUAAAAUUUAGCUGUUAUAGCAUGUUAACAUACUAUUUUACUUGUAAUCGUUUUUAAUUUUUUUUUAUAUAAAUAUAUCAUUUUAAAAAGAAAAAGUAUGUAAACCUGCUAUGGCACCAUUGAGAUGCAUAUUAGAGGCAUAGGAUUUUCACAUAAAUAUACUUAGUUUUUUCUUUGGUGAUUUUGUCAUAGUAUGACACUUUGUUGUUCGUCGUCUUUUGUAUGGACUUGUUUUGUUUUCCUCUCUUGUUAAGAUGAUUGUUCGAUGUAAAUUAUCAACCUAAUUUUGAUUUAGUGCAAAUUCAAUCAAUAAUUUUAAUAUCGUCAACGUUAAUAAAUCCAGAGGCAUACGACAUACUUAUUAGAGACACUUGAAGAUAAUCAUAUUUGUAUUGUAUUGUUGUAUUUUAUCAAUCAAUUAGAAUGAAUGAAUAUCAUAUAUUUUUAGUAGAAAGAAAGAUAUUUUUCGAGUGUUUCUUUCAAAAAUAAAAUCUUUCAAUGACUCUGACGCAAAUAUCAAGAUCAAUUCUUUCAAAGUGACUAGACUUUUAUUCAUCUAAGAGAUUGACAUCUCUCAAAAAAAUAUUUUUCUAGACCUAUAUCAAGUGACUCACCAUUCACAUAAAUAAAAUAUCAUUGUUAUGUAUAGUAGGACUCUCUUUGAUACAAAUAGUCUUUUUUUUUUUUUUUUUGUGUAAACUUGAUGCUCUAUGUGCAACUGCGAGAAAAUACUUUUUAUGAAUAAAUUAUCAAACUAAAUCUAAAAUAUUUAAUAAAAGUAACUAAGGAAUAUGAAAAAAGAAAAUCAAGAUUUUUUUUUUGACAGAACACAGAAAAUUAUGUUAAUAAUAAUAAUAUUCGGAAUACAUGAUAUAUACUCCAACAAUGACUAAAAUGAUUAAGAAAGUUGAAUUUUUAAGAGUGAGUUGAAUUGCUUUUGAAUGGCAGAAAUAGUUGACAAAAUAAUUAACCAUCAGUAACGAAAUUGAGUUUGACUCUUGAAGUCUUCUAAAUACUGCCGUUGAAGUCAAAUCUUUCACCUUCAAUUUUUUAUAAAUCUUUUAUAUUUGAAAGAAUAUCUUUGUGUGAAAAAAAAAAUUGGAUGUUUCAGAGUUGAUUUAAGGAUCACUCUAAUAUUAAGUCAGUCUACGACAAUCAAUCUUGCAUCUAGACUUUAGAUUAGAGGUGGUAAAGGUGAAAAUCAUACCCAAGUUUUGAUUAUUUUAUUUUUUAUAUAAAAAAAAAAAAUUGUGAUUAGUUGACAAUGUAAAAUAUAUCUAUGUUUGCGUAUGAAUUAAAUCUAAAGUUAAAUAUUUUUUGUCUCUAUAAAUAUUCAAAAAAAAAUUGUAAAAAAAAAGUAUUCAAAUUUUUCAUUUUAAUACUUCUAUAAUUUUUCUUCAACUUUUAGUUCCUCAAAAGUUUUUCAUCGAUAUCUAUGAUCAUACUUUGAAGUCAAGUGAUAUGUCCCCUUCAAAAUUUUGAAUAGGUUUUUGCAAGAAUAUUUAGAAUAUUAUUGAAAUGUCUCCCAAUUUUUGUUAACAAAUAAUGAAUUAAAUAAGAUUUUUAAGCAAAAAAAUAAAUAAAAAAUUCAUAUUUAAUCCAUCUUUUGUUAAAAUAUUUUAAACUUUUGCAUGAGAUAAUCAUAUAAGGUAUUAAAUAUGACUGCAAAAAAAAUUUAAAAUUUCGAAUGAUACUCAUAGUUGACUUAUAAACACAUAGGAAAACUUUUUUGAAACUAAAAUUCGAAGAAAUUUUUUAUGAAGAUUAAAACAAAUUUUUUUUUUUGACAAAAGGAUUAAAAUGUCUAGUUAAAAUAUUUAUUGCAACUAAAAUUAUACAUAACCUUUAAAUUUUUUUUUAUCAAGUAACCUAAUGAUUAAAGGCUACACAUUUUAAAUGUAGAGAAGUAGGGUGUCAGGAGUUCAGACCUUAAUCCCUAAUAUUCAUAUCAACUGAGGUAAGUUCAUGGUAAUAUAUAACCCUCAAGUCUCUUUUAAAAAAAAAAAAAAAUAGAACCCUUAAAUCUAUUAACCGGUAUAAAAAUGAAACGACCAACAUGUUAACCAUGGUUAAACCAAUGUCAUAACAGUGAUUUCAUUCGGGAAAAAAAUUAAGAUAAUUUGUUUGUGGCAGGCUUUAACAGUGGAGAAUUUCAUUCUGAUCGGUACCAAGUUCUAACUAUAUUUAUCGAAAGAAAAAAAAUCUUGUCUUUUAUUGGGAAGAAAUACGAAAAGCCCAAAAAAAAAAAAAAGAAGAACAAGUCGCUAAAACAACAUUAAAACGAAGUCGCAGCUUCAUAGGGUCAAAAGAAGUAUCAAGGGAGAAGGAUAGUCCUUAGUGAUUUUCGAGUGUUUCUAUAAAAAAUAAAUUAAAAUCUUUGAGUUAACUUUUUUUUUUUAAAUUAAAGAUAUUCUUCAUACACAUAAAUAAUGUUCUUUUUGUAUCAUAUAGAGUAAGACCCUAUAUGAUACAAAAAAGAUAUAUGGUACAAAAAGAGUUUUUUUGUCUAAACUUUAUAUCCUCCAUGACACAAAUAAUAAUAAAUUAUAAUAAUAUAAUACUUUAAGACAGAUUAUUAUUAUUUUCCUUUUGACAUGCUUUAAAAAUAUAAUACUAUAAUAAUGCUAUAAUAUUAUAAUACUAUCAGUUUCUUGAUAAAUAAUGGCAUAGGUGACAUCACUGAUAAUGUCUUAAGAAGUGUAAAAACACUAAACAAAAUACAGUACGUAAUAUUUGCUAAAAAUAUAUAUAUAUAUAUACAGUACGUAAUUUCUUUAAAAAAAAAAAUACAGUACGUAAUCAAAUAUAAGUUGACUUUCUUAGAUGCUGUUUGUGUUAGUCCAAUAGUUUUUUUAUUUCAAAAAUAAUGGUAUAAAUGCACUUGUAAUAAUAAUACUUCAUCCGUUUUAAAAUGAGUGUCGUUUUAACUAAAAAAAUUAUUUUAAAAUAAAUGUCACUUUCAGUUUUCAAUGUAAUAAUAAUUUUUUCUCUUCAAUUAAAAUAAAUGAUAAUGUUUUUGAAUUUUUGGUGCAUUUUUUUUAUUGGAGGGGCCAAUUUUUAAGAUUGCAUCGGGGCUAUUAGAUUGUUAAGACGGCCCUGAAUCCAGGGUUCGAAUACUGACCCCUGCAUAUCAAGGAAGGAACAAUAUUAUACAACAAGGACUUAUUGGCCAAAAGUAUUUGAUCAUGGUAAAAGUCAAAAUUGAUAAAUAUCUUUCUACAUACAAUUAUCAACGGUACAUAGAAAAAUAUAUAGAAUCCCCGUGAACUGAAUUCAGUUGAUAAAAAUAAUACAUAUCAUUAUCAUUAUAACUUAAAUUUAGUUGAGACCUUAAAUACCAAGAAAAAUAGAAAUCUAAAGCCCUAUCCUCUAUUGCCUUGGGCUAAGGCCGACCCCGUAACUUAUACGACUAAAAUGGUGUUAUGAGAGUUGAAUUUUUCUAUCCAGAGUUUGAUUCUCCAACUAUAUAUGUGUGAAAGAAUUGGAUGUUUGAGUGUUCAUUUGAGAAUUAGGCUGUGUUUUUUCCAUUACGUCAAUAAGUUAACUUAUAAUUUGUUGAAUUAGUUCGAAAACUUGUUGAAUCAAAGUGUGAUAUGUUUGGUACCAAACAUUUUUGUUUUUGUUUUUGGUAGAACCAAACUUUUCUUACAUGCUUAUAGUUUUUUUUAGAUAUUAUUUUAAGUAGCUUUCGAGCUUAAAAUUUAUAAUUCUUUCUACUUUAUUCUAUUUUUAACCUUGUUUUUUUUUUUUUUUAAUUUUAUUAUUUUUUUACGCUUUUUACAACUGUCCACUAGCUUAAAACUUCACACGUUUUUUCUUUUUCUUAUAAGCAUUUGACGUAACGCCAUUGCUUUGCUUCUUGUUCUUCAAUUGUACUAGUUUCCAUCUUGCUCUUUCUAUCGUUAUCUGGCAAUUAAUAUAGCUAUAAUCUAUCGAUUUGUGGCUAUUAAUAGAGCUGUGAAAAAAAGCUGUUCAUAGAAUUAGUGGUGGAUUCUAAGAUAAAGGUUAAAAAAGUCUCUUUCAAAAAUAAAUAACUGUUUGAGGUUAAAUAGAAUCUUUCCAAAUCUCCAAUUGAUCUAAAAGUUUUGAUUAGUUGACAAUAUAAAAUAUAUAUUUACACCUGCAUAUAAAUUAAAUUUAGGGUUAAAGAUAUUUAGCCUUCUUUUUCGGUACACCUUGUUCUGGGGAGAGUGCCUGUUUUCAGUUUAAUAUAUAUAUAUAGGCAAAUUCUAUGGUACACCCACUAUAUUUAAGUGUACCGGUACACCCAUUCUUUAAAUUCAUAGUUAAAUGAAUUGUUUUUUUGAAGAAAAAUAUUUUUUUUUUAUCAUUUAUAAUUAUAAUAACUAAAUUUUAUUCAUCAAAAGUGUCAACGAAAUAAUUUUUUAUUUUUUAAAAUUUUUAUCACUCAUAAUUGAGAACAUUCAUUAUUUUUUACGAUAAUUGUAAAAAAAGUUACUAUGAUUCUUAUAAACAAUUAAAUGAUGUUUUUUCUUAUGAAAUGUUGUUCUAUAAAAUAUGAAAUGAUCGUUCAUUUAUAAAAUUAAGAAGUAGAAGGACCGGUACACCUCAUUUUAUAAGUGUACUGUAGAAGUUCUCAUAUAUAUAUAUAUAUAUAUAUAUAUAUAUAUAUAUAUAUAUCUCUUUUUUGGCUUCUUCAAAAAAUAUUUUUGCUCCUUAUAAAUAUUUUAAUUUUUUUAGUUAGCACCCUAAAAAUUUUCUUCAACUUAUAGUUUCCCAAUUUUUUUUUACCAUCUACACUCGUUGUCCCCGCUUUUAAAUCAUAACAUAUGCACCCAUCAUAAUUUGAAUGAGUUUUUGUAGAUUUUUUUUUUUUUUUUUUUACAAUUUUGCAAAAAUCUCUAGAAUGUUAUAAGAAUAUCUUCCAACAAAUUAGAUUUUUUUAACAGGAUAUAAAUUAAAUACAAAUUUUUAGUAAAAAAAUAUAAAAUUCAUAUUUAAUUCAUCCAUGUUAAAAAAGUUUAAUUCUUGCAAUAGAGAAAUCUAUAAUGUACUAGACAUGAUUGAAAAAAAUUACACCAAUGAACUUUAGUAUCAUCAACGUUAAUAGAUCUCGUGACAUGCUUAUUCCAGACAUUAAAGAUGGUCAUAUUUGCAGGCUUAUGUAUUGAACAUUGUUAUAUAGCAAAAAAAGUUUUUAACGGAAUUAUACGACAGUAGGAAAACACUUGCAAUACAAGGGCAAUACGAUAAUAUACUAGAUGGCUGAUGGCUAGAUUGGUAAUUACAGCUUUAAAUUAGUGCAGUUCCUACUUUUCGUUGAAUUGAUUUUCGUAACAAACAGCAUUAGCCAUCAAAAAUAAAAUCUUUCAAUGACUUUUUUUGUAAACAGGUAUUCCCCGUACAAAGCCACGAAAAUCAAUUCUUUCAAACUGACUAGACAUUUCUCUUGUUUUAAGUUUUAUAUCUCUUAACAAAUAUUUUUUUUUCCCUUCAUAUAUAUAUAUAUAUAUAUUUCAAGUGACUCACCAUUCACAUAACUAAUUAAUACUAUUCUUAUCUAUAGUAGGACUCUAUUUUUGGUAAAAAAGAGUUUUUUUUUAAACUCGAUAUCCUUGGGUGUGCAAUUACGAGUCAUAUAAGUUUCUCGCUCAUCUUAUAUAAUUCGAAUUAUAGAAUUCGAACUCAUAAACAUCCCAUAAAAUCCUUCAAAAACACGGUGAAAUAUUUCGAAUUUUAAAAUCUGAAUAUGACGUGCGAGAGAAACUGAUAGGGUGGAAAAUGUAAUAAUCAAAUAAUUUUUAUGAAAAAAUAUUGGGCCGAUUAAAAAGAAUAACACAAAAAAUAUUGUGCCGAUCAAUCAAAAGUUGCAAGACUCCAAUAAAUGAGACAUGUUUUUCUGGCUAAAAAAAUAUUCUAAAACGGUUCGGUUCGUAGCUUUCAAACGGCAUUUUAUUUUAUUUUAACAUCUUCGAUAGAUAAGGAAAAUUGCUCUUCUCACAACAAAAAACACCCACUCGCAACUGAAUUGACGAAAGUACCUCUCUGUGAGUUAAGUCACACUCGGUACUUCUAGCCUGAGUUAACUUAUGCAUGUUGUAACCCAUUGCGAUUUAACUCAUGAUGCUUGCUGUUAUAUAGAGCUGUCAAAACGGGCCGGCCCGUUUAGCCCGAAUAAAUAUAGGGCUUGGGCCUAAAAUAUUGAGCCCGAAUUUUAAUAGGGCUUUUUAGCCCGGCCCUUAAAAGCUCGGUACCCGUUAGGGCUAGCCCGAAUGGGCCGCGGGUAGCCCGUUCGCCCGCAUAACAAAAAAAAAAUCUAUAAAUUAUAUAUAUUUUUCAAAUAAUUAUUUACUUAGUUGAUUAUCAAAUAAAAAACAAAAGUGAAAAUUCAAUAAAUUAACACAAAUAUAAAUGUAAUAUAAAAUUAUAUUUAUUCAUUUCGUUAUUUAUAGUGUUAGAGAUCGAAUAUAUAAAUAUCUAUAACCAUAACAUAUUUAAUUUAAUUAAAAUCAUUUUUCUCGUCGUUUUAGUUUACGACGUUUGUACGAAAAUGUUUACAAUUUACUUUUGUGCUAGACAUUAUUUAAACAUAUUAAAAAUAUUAUUUAUAAAAAAAUUAUAGUAGUGUUUUAUAGUAUUUUUUAAAAAUAAAAAAAAAUAUAAUUUUUAAUACGGGCCAGGCUCGGGUAGUAUAUUUCAAGCCCGUUUUGUCAACCGGGCUUUUUGACCCGGCCCGCUAAAGCCCGAAGCCCGCUAGGGCCGGCCCGUUUCGAUAGCUCUACUAUUAUAGAACAAAAACUCGUAAACAUAACUAUUCACUUUCAAACCAUUUCAAAACAUCACAAGUGCGAUUUUCCCCCCUUCAAGUACGAUUUUCUUCAUUCUUGCACCAUUUCAAGUCAAUUUCUCCCACAAAAUCAAGUAAGUGUUUGCAUUGCCUUUUUUUGGUUUAAAUUUUGUUUGGUAUUUUUGGAGAAAUUUUACAUUUUUAGGUUAUUAGAAAUUUGGUUUGCAUGAUAGUUUUUAGGAUUGUUAGUGAUGAAUUAAGUUAUGCAUUGCAGUUUAGAUGUUGUUUAGAGUCCAAUCUGGUAGUUUAGGGUUUACAAAUUGUUAUAUUUUAUAUUGAUUGAAAGUUGCACUCUAGGUGUUUGGUAAAAUGUCUCAAUGAAAAUUUGUUUGUAUUUUGCAUUGUUAGUGAUGAAGUUAGUUAGAAAUUGGUUUAUUAAUGUUGAUUGUAGUGAGUUCGAGUGCAAUGUUGUAGUUCACAGAUUGAAAUGACACUGCCGAAAUUUAACUGUUGUUAUUGAAUAGUUAGAAAUGUGAUAUAUAAGUGGAGAAUCUCAUAUGUUCGAACCCAAGCUCCAACUGAGUUGUAAUUACGGGACAAAUAAAUUACAUAUUUAACUUACUAUCUAAUCACUAGCACGAUACAGUAUUUAAUUGGUAAAUAAAAAAAAUACAAUCAUUGUUGUUGGGUUUUUCAUCUUGAGAUGGAAAAGAAAUUGAAUGUUCUUAGCGCCUUUGGAAAUUAAACAUCUUGAUUGAUAUGGCAAAGACCAAAGCAAAACCUAUUGGAAAUGCAACAUUAACAAGAGCAACCACUCCUAGAAAAUCAUGCUUGAAAUCAAAGUAGUUUUUCAGAAAACCUUCUACUGUUUGUCUUCCAUCACUGGUUUCAAUGUUGUGCUUUUCAUCUCCAUAUUGUGAAACCACCAAUCCAUACAAACUCCACGCUAUUGGAUUUGCCCAACUGUACCAUCUCCACCACACUGGAAUAUUCUGUUAGCCAAAGCCACCGAGAAAAAAAAAAUGAACUAUAAAUUAGUGAUAUAUAUAUCACUAUCAAUAUGCUUAAAAAAGCAUGAACUUUAAAAAUAAAAGAAAUGGGAAAGGGGAAACCAUUAUUAAAGUGACACUAAUUACUGGUUGAUAAUCGUUUCCGACUAUCCCUUGAGAUUACAAAGUUGUACUCUCACUACUAAGAUGAUACCUUAAAGACAUGAAAUUAAAAUGCAUUAAGCGUUUGAGGAAAUCAAAACUUACUGGUCUUGGGACUAUGAAUCCUGAGAAGAGAUUCCAUAUUGAGUAGAAUGCAGAUGAAACUAUAAUGGAUAUGUGAUUGUUUGGGGUCAUGGCCACUGACAUCAAGCCAUAGUAGGUGAAGUAGAGGAAGGUGCAAAACAAGAAGAAUAGGCACCAAAGAAAUUUAACCACAGACCAUUCAAAACCAAUCAUAGCAUACACUAUAAUGCCAUAGACUACAGCUUGUACAAAAACAUAUGGGAGCUCAAUUACAACCUGCAAUGCAAGAUAAUUUACUGUUUUUUGUUAUGUUCUAUAAGAUAAUAAAGACAUCUAUGAUGGUACCAAAAUCAAUAUUUUAUAAAUUUUUUUAGAUACUUGCCUGAGCAAAAGCAUAUGGAAAAGCUGAAUACAUUCCGGCUGCUCUUUCUCUAUAAAAGACCGUUCUUUCGACAGCAACCACUGGCUGCACUGAAUUAGCAUUCUUGAUGCCAAUUACGAUCACAGCAGAAUACAUGGACCCCAUGGCAUUAAAAAGAUCUUGUUCCUUUUCACUGAAAAAAUUGAUACGAAAUAUUACAAACUCGAGAGUUUGAAGCCAUUAAAUUUAUAGUUUUCCAAUUUGAUCUUACAUUUUGGAGCCAAGGUCCCAAAACAUGCUUCCAAACAAAACAGCAACUGCGGUUGAGUACAGAAAUCUAAUGGCAUUAUAUUCAGGAUUGCGCCAAUAAGACCAAUGUUGUUUCCAUAAGCAAGCCAUGCAUUGUGUCCAAAAGGAUCUCGAGUACUGUGAAGCAAAAUAAAGAUCUUUCGAACAAGGUGCUGGAGUACUCAAUUCUUUGAUAAGUGCUUUGUUUCUCCUAAAACAGUUAUAGUAGAUUAUUUUCUGAUUCUAUAGUUUGAUUUGAUUUGAUUUGAUUUCAUACAAGUGAAAAUACCUGUAUAACUCUGAAUUUUGGUACACCUCUGCAAAAUCAAUCCCCAAUUCCCUUUCUUUUGAUGAAGUUGUGACUUCCAACAUCCAUGUUGCUGGAUUAUAACCGUCUUUAAUCUUGCUAACACCAUGGAUCCCCUUCAAGACAAAAGUGUGUACUUAUCGAAAUGUUAACAAAAGAUAACAAUUUGAAACAUAAUAAUGAUUACUUUUAAUUGGAUAUCUAUAUCUAUUUUCUACCUACCUCAAAGUAAUUGAUUAAAUUGGAAGAAUUAUGUCCAAGUGGCCCCACAUAUAUCUCUUGCCCUCCUUGCUUAAGUAGCAAAAGCUGCAUUUCACAUGAGAAAAAUAUUACAGACAUUGCAAUGGAAGAGAACAAACAAAAAAUUUCCUGAUUUUUCCCCUAUCACCUCAUCAAAAGAUUCAAAUAUAUCAAUGCUAGGCUGGUGGAUAGUACAAACAACUGUUCUUCCAGUGUUUACUGUGUUCCUAACUGUUCUCAUCACAAUAGCUGCAGCCCUUGCAUCUAGCCCAGAAGUUGGUUCAUCCAUGAAUAUUAUUGAAGGAUUAGCUACCAACUCAACUGCAAUUGUCAACCGUUUGCGCUGCUCCGUCGAGAGACCAUUAACACCAGGCAGUCCUACUAAUGCGUUUUGCAGUGGUUUCAGUUCCACAAGUUCCAUGACUUCCUCAACGAACAUCUGCAACCAUUAAUUAGUUUCAAACUUGGUAACAUUGAUAAAACAUGCAAGUAUUUAUCACCCCUAUAUUUUUUAUUCUGAUGUUUUCACAUGACAUAAUAAUUCCAAUGAGUAGUAAAUAAACUUGUUUAAAAAAAUGAAUGGUAAAUAAAUAACACAGGUACAUGAAUGCAGUGUGAUUAAAGUGGCUGAUUCAUGUCAAAAUUUCAAGUAAUUGAGAAACUAACCUUUCUAGUUUCAGCAUUGAUGUCUGGGGACAACCGGAGCCAUGCUGAAUAGAGCAAAGAUUCAUAGACAGUAACAUAAGGAGAGUGGAUAUCAUUUUGCUCACAGUACCCAGAAAUUCUUGCAAAGGUUUCUUGCUUCUUUGGAAAGCCGGAAAUUGUGAUGUUCCCACCAAUAUAUCCUCCGGUUUUCCUACCAGAAAGCACAUCCAUCAGAGUUGUUUUGCCAGCACCGGUCACACCCAUUAGAGCAGUGAGAACACCAGGUCUGAAAGCUCCACUUACACCCUUCAAAAGAACCAACUUAUCCUCAACAACACCUAGGUUUCUUCGCAUUUCCUGCAAGUUCAGUACAAGUAUUUGAUAAUUUAUACUUCACAAUAAUGCUUUGAAAGUUCAAUAUGGUCUUUUGUCACUGUCCGUGUAAAGAUUUUUAUACUGUCAAUCAAAUUAGAACCGUUUGACUUUAAUUAUACCUACUUCUAAAGUGACACAUAUGAUUGAAUGUGAUUUGCAAUGUAAAUUUUUUUACACUUCAGUGUAUCAAAAUUUAAAUUUUCAUUCAUUUGGUUUCUACAUUACCUGUGGCAUGUCUACGGAAUAUGUAACUUCAUCAAAGGUUAUAGAAUGUGGUUCAAAAGGAAGAACCAUUCCCCUUUUCCUGCUAUGAUUUGUUUCUGAGGCAACUAUUUCUUGUCUAAUAGGAGAGAUGCUUCCACUUCUACUUUCACCGUUUCUCACUGUGAAGUAGCUCCAAUGUUAUCCAUAAGGUGUUAUGUGAAUUGAAAAUCAACUAUGUAAUAGACUAUAUCUCAUCUAGAUAUUACUAAAUCACUACAUUUUCAGUAGUUAUGAGAUGAAAGUACCUUUAUUUGUGAUCUGUGAAAAGCCAUCCUUUAUGAAUCUCAAUACAUUACUUCUUUCCCUGCUACCACCAAUUUUUUCACUGCUUUGAGAAUCAUCUGGUAUAACAGUUUGAUGCUUCCCAAGAGCUGCAUGAUCAAUUUUGUAGAUUAUCAGUACAUGAACCGUAGUCUCAUCUGUUUUAUUAUACAUCUAAGGUGAAGACACUCACGAUUCAGGAAAGUGAGGGCAAGCAUAUAGCCAAAAUUGAAAAGUAAUGUAUAUCCAAUCAAAGCACCAACACCUAUCCAGUACCAGUAUGACUCAGUGAAGAAUCCGCGAGAUUUCAAAACUUCAACUCCUAGCGGCUCAGUUGAGUUAGGCAGAACCUUUCAUAAGAAAAUAUAUCAAGACAUUUGAUUGUUUGAAUUUUCUUGUUUGCGUAGGAUCAAACUCAAUACUCAGGGAUUUCCAAUAAUCGCAUGUAUUUCGUGCCAACCACUCACUAGACCUUGGUGGUACAUCGGAUUAUUUAUAUGAUAAGGAAGUCACAGAAAAUGAAUAUAUAAAAAGUAAAAAAACUUACAUGUUUCCAUUUAUUCCCAAGGAACUCAUUAUUUACCAUGGCAUUUUGUCCAUACAUCAUAGGUGAUAUCCAGAAUCCCCAUAUCCACCCAUUUUUUAUACUGUCUAUGAUCAUAAAGAAAAGAAAAGAGAGGAGAACUCUUAGUAUAGAACGUAGUGAGACAAACACUGUGAUUAUUUAUUUGUUGUAUCCAUAAUAAUACCUUUUGAUAGGACAAAACCACUCAUAGCGAAAAGGAUGGCAAUUGCAAAUGAUCCAAAUGUUAGAGCCACUGUCAUGUCCCUCCCUACUGCUGCAAUGAAUCUGAAUAAUGCAGUAGCCAUCUGGUGUACUAGUACAAGAAUAAGAUAUUGUCUGAAAAAUCUGCAUCAGGAAGUAGAAAUGCAAAUGGAUAUCAUUAUUUGUUUGGUAGGAUAUAAGAAUAUACAAUGGUAUGAGGGGAAAAAACCAAAAAGGAUCAAGGGAUUGUUUGGAUUUUCUUGUUUAAGUUUAGCUCAGCUAUUGGCAUAAACAUCUGCGAGACAGUUUAGAAGAGCUUAUGGAAACAUUUUAUCACAUGUCCAUAAGUUGUUUUCAGCUUAUUCUGAUAAGCUCUCAAAGAUAAAUUAUAUGAAAAUGGUUUGACUUUUAUUUAAUCGUUCAUUAUAGAAAUAGUUUAAACAUAAUCAUUUAUUUGAUAAGCACUUAUGUUAUAAGUGCUUAAUUAAACUGUUUACCCAAACAGGACACAAUUCACUGUUACACUUAGGACUUAUAAAAACAUAUCACUCUUACCUUUCAAUAUAUGGAUCAAAACCAAUGACAUAGUAGGUAAGGAACACCCAAACAGCCACUUCCGCAAAAAUCAAAGGAAUUUUUAGGAUCCAUCCAGGAAGAGCAUAUGCCCAUGCAGGGAAAAAUAGGUAUCCCCUUUGCUUGUAGAAAACAGGAAGUCUUGAAACUACCAUUGAAAGUUCAGCCAUUCCAUUGAACAUGAUCACAACAACGCCAUAGAAC